GAUGAACGCUGGCGGCGUGCCUAAUACAUGCAAGUCGAGCGAACGGACGAGAAGCUUGCUUCUCUGAUGUUAGCGGCGGACGGGUGAGUAACACGUGGAUAACCUACCUAUAAGACUGGGAUAACUUCGGGAAACCGGAGCUAAUACCGGAUAAUAUUUUGAACCGCAUGGUUCAAAAGUGAAAGACGGUCUUGCUGUCACAUAUAGAUGGAUCCGCGCUGCAUUAGCUAGUUGGUAAGGUAACGGCUUACCAAGGCAACGAUGCAUAGCCGACCUGAGAGGGUGAUCGGCCACACUGGAACUGGGACACGGUCCAGACUCCUACGGGAGGCAGCAGUAGGGAAUCUUCCGCAAUGGGCGAAAGCCUGACGGAGCAACGCCGCGUGAGUGAUGAAGGUCUUCGGAUCGUAAAACUCUGUUAUUAGGGAAGAACAUAUGUGUAAGUAACUGUGCACAUCUUGACGGUACCUAAUCAGAAAGCCACGGCUAACUACGUGCCAGCAGCCGCGGUAAUACGUAGGUGGCAAGCGUUAUCCGGAAUUAUUGGGCGUAAAGCGCGCGUAGGCGGUUUUUUAAGUCUGAUGUGAAAGCCCACGGCUCAACCGUGGAGGGUCAUUGGAAACUGGAAAACUUGAGUGCAGAAGAGGAAAGUGGAAUUCCAUGUGUAGCGGUGAAAUGCGCAGAGAUAUGGAGGAACACCAGUGGCGAAGGCGACUUUCUGGUCUGUAACUGACGCUGAUGUGCGAAAGCGUGGGGAUCAAACAGGAUUAGAUGCCCUGGUAGUCCACGCCGUAAACGAUGAGUGCUAAGUGUUAGGGGGUUUCCGCCCCUUAGUGCUGCAGCUAACGCAUUAAGCACUCCGCCUGGGGAGUACGACCGCAAGGUUGAAACUCAAAGGAAUUGACGGGGACCCGCACAAGCGGUGGAGCAUGUGGUUUAAUUCGAAGCAACGCGAAGAACCUUACCAAAUCUUGACAUCCUUUGACAACUCUAGAGAUAGAGCUUUCCCCUUCGGGGGACAAAGUGACAGGUGGUGCAUGGUUGUCGUCAGCUCGUGUCGUGAGAUGUUGGGUUAAGUCCCGCAACGAGCGCAACCCUUAAGCUUAGUUGCCAUCAUUAAGUUGGGCACUCUAAGUUGACUGCCGGUGACAAACCGGAGGAAGGUGGGGAUGACGUCAAAUCAUCAUGCCCCUUAUGAUUUGGGCUACACACGUGCUACAAUGGACAAUACAAAGGGCAGCGAAACCGUGAGGUCAAGCAAAUCCCAUAAAGUUGUUCUCAGUUCGGAUUGUAGUCUGCAACUCGACUACAUGAAGCUGGAAUCGCUAGUAAUCGUAGAUCAGCAUGCUACGGUGAAUACGUUCCCGGGUCU
rnacentral:rRNA from 1 species